GCAUCAAAAACGAGGGAUGUACUGUAUGGUGACUAACAUAAUAAAAAGAUAUUAAAAAUAAAUAAAUAAAAAUGACAGGGCACUCCUGUCAUUUCACUGACUGUGACACAGCUUGGGAUUACACGCUGCAGCGCUUGACAUUCCAUCUGAUGUGCUUUAACCCAUGAGGUUCUGGCUAAAUUCAGCGGCCAUGUUACUUCACAGGUUCUCCCAAAGUGGCAUGAUGCCUGCUGGUGACUUCGGAAUCGAGAACCAAAUAAGUUAUGUUUGAAAGUUAGGAGGAGCCGACACAAUGAGUCCUUAUGAGUAUGUGUAUGAGCCGCAUGUUCAGUAAGCUUACUAUUUCCCUCAAUGGAAAUGUAUUUUGCUUUGGAACAAAAUCCUAUAUAUUCUGCUUUGUCCUCAAGUAUUUCCUGGCAGCUCCUCUUUACUGUUUUCAUCCUUUUAGGGGGAUUUCCCACUUCUCAAGCGGUGAAAGACCCUUUGCACUAAUUGGCAGCAUCAGGCCACUCCAGCGUCUGCCCGUCAUCCCCUGGGGCUGCUCCCACCGUGGCUGCAGAUCAGGUCUCCCUGUGGCCUCUGACGUCCAGAGUCAGGGAUCUGCCAAUUGUUCUCCACAGACCUGACAACUGAGGUGGAAAUGAAGGACUUUUACCACCCACUCAGCCUGUAGAGAGAGGCCCCUGCUGGAAAAUAUCCCCUAGACAGCCACAGAUCCCCAGAGGAGGAUUCCCAAUGCUGGAACCAGCAGAGUCUCGGGUCUCCACAUCCCUCAACGGCAGGCCCGGCCCCCCGAAGCCUGCGGGAGACACCCAAGUCGUUGUAGGCCCUGGAGAAGAAGGUAGCAAGGAUGGUCCCCAGCCCUGGUCCUGAGACGAGCCUGUGGUGCUACCAGCUGUGUGGAGAGCUCCGAGGUUUAGGUUCUAGCUUUAAAAGACAAAAGUCUCCUUUAUGAAAACAUCGUGAGAUAAGUUGUUAAGCGUCUGCCUUCGGCUUGGGUCAUGAUCUCAGGGUCCUGGGACCGAGCCCCACAUUGGGUUCCCUGCUCAGCAGGAAGCCUGCUUCUCCCCCUCCUACUCCCUCUGCUUGUCUCUCUCUCUGUCUCUCUCUCUAAUAAAUACAAUCUUAAAAAAAAAAUAAAAGGAAGAUGGACCACUGUCCUCGUAAAGCCAGUGCAGCCGAGAGCCACAAAGGUUUAGUCACUUCCUCUGAGUGGUGCAGAUAAUCCAUGUGGGAUGCUUGCAGGAACCCAGCACGUUCCAGCCCCCCACAGCUGAUGUUCAAUGUACAUCCGACAUAUACCAGAAAACUGUUGACCUAGAGGACCGGAACUAUGGGAACUUUGAGAAAAAUUAAUGUAAAGUUUCCUUACAAUCCAUUAGGCUUUUGCCACCAGUUUCAGGAUGGCUGAUAAAGUCUCCGGUUCAACGAGUUAUACUCUGACAGUGUCUAGGAGAAGAUCUGAGCUGAAAUACGGCAACUCCCAGAAGUCAUCUUGGAUUGGACAGACAAGCAUAUAGGUAACAGACUAAGCACGCUGAAAGGGAGAGUUCACUGGGGAAGGCUCACUGCAAGCUGAUGGACUGAAUGGCAGGGGUGGCAAGCCCAUUACUAGCUGGAGAAGGACAGCCACCAGUUUUCUUCCAGGAAAACCCAUUCACCCCCUCAGUGUACCGAGUUCUCUCUAGAAUCAUUCGGGGCAGGGGAAGCAGUCUCAGGUUGUCUGUCGCUGUACCUGUCCUGGAUGUGGACACUAUCCAGUUCCCUUACUUCCCAGAAGUCUCUUGUCUGUUGCCUGGAGAUGGCCCUGGGAAGAG